CAAAAACAGAUCAAGAUACAAUUUUAUGUUUUCAGGAGCGAAAUAUUUUAUCAAAAACAGGAAAUGUGAACUUAAACAAGAACCAACCUGGCCGCCGUCACAUCUACUGUAAGAGUUCGCAUUGGGCUAAAUUAUCUUGGUGAAAUCAGGCAGUUUUAUUUAUCCUUCAUGUAUCAAGUAGUGGAGUUUGACACUGAUAGUGGAGGAGGGGUUGGAAUUAUCCACUCUAAAUGGCUAACACCAAGAAAGAAAGAGUGUUUUUGGCCACCUUUUAAACAUUCUCAAGAGUACAAUAAAUGUCUCAGUGACGGACAGCGUCCUUGUGAAAAAUGGAGAAUUUGUGCUUUGAAGAGAAAAUUCUACAUUACUGAUGACAUAUUAAAGGCCAGAGAAAAAUUGAAAGAUGCAGAAUUUGAAUCUGACAUUGCAACUGAAUAUG